UCAUUAAUGAAUUUGGAGGCUGUCGCUGGCUAGGUGAUUCUAGCAUGUGCACGUCUACACUUUUAAACACACUUGUGAACCCAUUGUAGAUCGAGUCCAUCGAAAAGUAGCAUCGAACUACCUAAUAGAGGGCUAAUUGGCUUAUCGAAAAGUAACCUAAUAGAGGCUUAUUGAAAAGUAGUGUGAACUACCUAAUAGAAAGCUUACCGAAAAGUACCUAAUAGAGAGCUAGUUGGCUUAUCGAAAAGUGGUGAGAAACUACCUAAUAGAGGGCUGAGUUGGCUCAUUGAAACGUAGUUAAUAGAGGGCUGGUUGGCUUAUCGAAAAGUAUGAGGGCUUAUUGAAAAGUAGUGGUGAACUACCUAAUAGAAAGCUUUAGUAACCUAAUAGAGGGCUAGUUGGCUUAUCGAAAAGUACCUAAUAGAAGGUUGGUUGGCUUAUUGAAAAGUAUGAAGCUUAUUGAAAAGUAGUGUAAACUACCUAAUAGAAAGCUUAAGUACCUAAUAGAAGGCUAGUUGACUUGUCGAAAAGUACCUAAUAGAAGGUUAGUUGGCUUAUUGAAAAGUACGGCUUAUUGAAAAGUAGUUUGGAACUACCUAAUAGAAAGCUUAGUACCUAAUAGAGAGCUAGUUGGCUUAUCGAAAAGACUACCUAAUAGAGGGACCCAGAAGAUCUAUGUUUAAUUUACACCACAUCGUA
rnacentral:rRNA from 1 species